CAGGGACGUUUGGGGCCCCGGUGCCGCCUGCCUGCCCGGCUUCCUAGGAAGGCUUUGGGAACCUGCGAUGGAGCCGGCGAACGCCUCCCGUCCGGACGGCGAGCCCCACGGAGGACUUGACUAAGCGUCUCUGUGCGGCCUUCUCCGAGUCUGGGUGUGCCCUUUCCCGUCAUGCCCUGGUGCACGGCAAUCCCGGUGAGCCCUGGGAGGACAGGGGCCGUGCUCCAUCGUCACAGUGUGAACAGCUUCCAGCACAGGCCCUGGCCACGGUGGGUUCUCAGUACCGGUUGUUGGGUAAACAGAAGCUGGCUAAUAAGGCAGUUCCCACAUGUUGAUGACUAGGACUCAUUUAUUAAGGUUUUCUUUUUUCUGCAGAAUGGGUGUUUUGGCCCACCUGGAAAGGCUGGAGGCACAAGUGACCGAGUCCCGCACAAAGUCCGCAGAGCGGCAGAGGGCUCGGGCAGAGGGAGGUGCCCUCGGGGCCAGGAUACAGAAACUGCGACGUCUGCGAGAUGAGCUGAGGGCCGAGGUGCAGCGGCGGCGAGCCUCGGUUAAAGCGUCCACUGCCAGUGUACAGCCUGACCAGACAGCGGGGAUGAGCGAGCAGGACGUUUUGGAGAGACGAUGGGAACACGCAAAGGCCAUGCUGCAGGCGUAUCGUUUCACAGGGCUCAGCGGACGACUGACCAGCCGCGGAGUCUGCGUGCGCAUCAGCACGGCCUUUGAGGAGCACCUGCUGGAGUCCUACUUCGUGGACCUUGUCAUCCAGAAGCCGCUGCGGAUCCUUCGCCACUCGGUCCCGGUGUUCAUCCCUUUGGAAAAGAUGGCUGCGCAGCACCUGCAGAGUGACAUCCGGCACUUCCUCUUCAGCCUCUGCGAGCACCUGAAUGCGUACGCGGGGAGGAAGUUCCAGGCAGACCGCCUGCAGGGCGACUUCGCCGCCUUUCUCACUGGGCCCCUGCGGAGAAACGCACUGUGCAGCCUGCUGUCGUUUACGUACAGAGUGGACUCGGGGGCUCAGUCUGUCGCCUUCUCCGCUAGACUGCUGUACGAGGACCUCACGGUCACUCUCCCAACUCGCGUCACCGUGGCAUGUGAAGGGACCGAAGCCUUAUCCCGUUCAUGGGAACACCAGCGAGCAUCCCAUGAAGCUCUGUUCUCCACGAAGCCCCUACAUCAGGUUUUUGCUUCAUUUGCAAGAGAAGGAGAAAAGCUGGAUAUGAGCCUCAUCUCCUAAAGUGCUGCUUCACUGGAGCCCGUUAGAAGUUCAGGACGUGAGGUAGAACGUGUGUUAGUUCCCUACAGCACCGUCGCGGGGUAGCGACCUUCCCUCUGCCGAAGCCCCAGCUCACGGCGGCCGCAUUCCCAGUCCUUUUAGUGAACUCUGUCCCUGCGCCCGUGGGCCUGGCACUGUGCGCUUAGGGCCAGCAGACAGAAGUCGCCCCUCCCCCACCAGGUGAAAGGAACUAUUGCACUUCCUGCUCUGUGACGAAAGGGACGGGUUCCAGGGGAACCUUUCAAGAUUAUCAGGACCAGGGCCACGGAGCCUGGCUCGGGUCAGAGACGCCCCGUCUGCAGGUGAGCCCUCUUCGGAAUGAGAAGCACUGCUGGGGUGCGGCUGUGGGGGGCGCUCACGAGCACAGCUCCCCUGCCACGCCCCUGCGCUGCGGUCCUGCUCACAGUGGCCGUGGCCUCUUGGGGGUGAAGGGCUGAGUUGGACCCGGGGCCCUGGAAGGACUGUUCCAGAACUGCGCCUAUGACCCUGUGCUGGGGAAGCUACAGGCACACUGAGGAGAGUGGCCACUCAGAGCCCACGCGUCCACGAACAGAUGAAGGCUUGAGGAGAGCUGUCGACCUAGCGUCUGUGGGAGUGUGCACACGCCAGCGACGCGGCCGCUCAGGGGUUGUCGACCACCUGGUGGGGCAGGGUCACCGAGGAGCCGUUGGGGUAGGCAGCGGGCUUGUCCCGCCCCUUCAGGAAGAAGGUCAGCAGUUCCCCCUUUCCUUUCACAAAGAUGGGGCCGCGCCUCACGAAGCGGAAGCCGUACUCUCUCAGGAUCACUUGCGUUUCCUCCACCACCUGUGGAGAGCAGGGGUCAGGGUGGAGCCUAGGCCACGCCAGGCCUGGUGCUCUCCCCGGAGCAUGGCUGCGCUGGCCUCCAUGCCUUUCUGGCCCUUGCCCAGUCCCAGCAGGCUCACGGGCUGCCCUUGCCCAGAACUGCAGAUGGCCAAGGCAUCUUCUCCCUCUGGAGGCCGCCCCCAGCACACCCCACACUCGCUGAUGUACCUGAAUGUUGCCCAUGACCCCUGUGGACUCCAUUCUGCUGGCCACAUUGACAGUGUUGCCCCAGAUGUCAUAGUGUGGUUUCCGGGCUCCGAUGACGCCAGCCAGAACCCCUCCUUUGUUCAUGCCUGGGGUAGAGGCCACAUCUUGUCACGACCCUCAGGCCACCAGUGUCUGACCCGCAGCACAGAGCCCCUGUGGGACACGUCCUGCUUCUCACUAAGCUGUCUGCAGGAGAGCAGAACCACGGCUCCUGUCUAACCUCCUCACCGCGUGCUUGGCAAAUGUCAGCUACCCCCAGGUGUGCCAAUGAGUUAGGGUGCUCAUGACCAGUGUCUGACACACCCUGCAGCUAGGAGGAGUGGGUGAUGUUAAUUCCUUCCAAAGGGCAGGCCCAGAAACCCUCGCCCGCGGGUGGUCACUCAACAGUAGGAACAGGUGUGGCUCGACUGCGCCCCCGCCCCGCCGCGGUGUCCCCUACCUAUGCGCAGCAUGAAGUUGUUGAAGGACUGAUUGUUGAUGUUGGUCAGCGUGUCCUUCAUGGCGAGUGCGAAGUCGGCCAGGUCGGCCAGGUGCUGCCAGCGCUCCUUGUCUGACUUCUCUUCCUGGGCCCAAGCAGCAGAGCGCACUUCAGGCCCUACCCGGGCCCACAGCUGGCGCAGCCUGCCCCCGGGGGAGCCCUGCGCCCUUUCUUUCCUCCCUCUCCGGAGCCCAGCUCCACCGAGUCCCAGGGCCGCGCCCCCUGUCCGGGCCUCAGUGCCCCGUUCAGCGUGGCCGCCCAUUUGGAGCCCUUCCCUAGAUGGUAAGCAUUUGGGCCAGUGACUGCAGCCCCUUGAUUAAAGUGGAGAUGGGUGGUAGCAGGUCACGGAACAGUGGACGUGCAGGUAAACUUAUUUUGCUGCAGAAACUUUUAAGAAUCUAUCCAUGGCCGGUGCCGUGGCUCACUAGGCUAAUCCUCCGCCUUGCGGCGCCGGCACACCAGGUUCUAGUCCCGGUCAGGGCGCCGGAUUCUGUCCCGGUUGCCCCUCUUCCAGGCCAGCUCUCUGCUGUGGCCCAAGAGUGCAGUGGAGGAUGGCCCAAGUACUUGGGCCCUGCACCCCAUGGGAGACCAGGAGAGGCACCUGGCUCCUGCCAUCAGAUCAGCGCGGUGUGCCGGCUGCGGCGGCCAUUGGAGGGUGAACCAACAGCAAAGGAAGACCUUUCUCUCUGUCUCUCUCACUGUCCACUCUGUCAAAAAAUUAAAAAAAAAAAUCCAUCCAUAGUUUUUCCAUAAUACACAUUUCCAUGAACUGCUUGAAGCUGUAGGACAGGUGUACCGGCGACGUGGCUGAGUGUUCUAAGAACAGUACGCCAGCAGGGCCCCGCAGCGCCUCCCCUCUCCCGCUAGCUGACUGGAACUGGCUGCACACUCAGGUAUGCACCUCUCUGUCAAAAGGAACUUGUCAUCGUUAUGUAACUGUGUAGCUGGCUCCUGCUCCCUGGUUCUUAGGAAAGUACAGAGCACAGUAGUGGGGCUUUGGUGUGUUUCCCACUUUCCCUGGCUCAGGAAACCUGCUCAGUAGCCCCUGCCUUGUAUGUGCUGGUGGGCGUGGCUGGCCCCUCUGGGUAGCAGCAGUGUCAGCCACUUGCAACCUCCCGCUUCCUCUAACCACUGAGUGACUCGCUACCUUGUUGGAGCUGGUAAAGCCGUUGGUGUUGACAUCUGGGGUGACUCCCGAAGCCGCCAUAUAGGUGCUGCCAAUGGUUUUGAUCUUCGUGAUGACCCGAAAUUUGGGAUUGUCCAGGAGCUGAGGCCAGAAUUAAGGAAAAAGAAUUGUCAGCAGAGUCCAGGGAACUGAAUCCACUCAAGGACCCCUCCCCUCCGAAACACCCACGAGGUGCCGCCUGGAUCACCCCACUGCUGAUCGGCCACAUGAACCUGUGCGAGCUUCCGUUCUGAGCCUCAGUUCUCACAGCCUUAACCUUGAGAUGAAAUUGCCAGCCUCUCCUGGGGUGGUUGGGCCCGUACACAAAGCCAAAUAAACGUUUACUGAAUGAA